UUCUGUGUUGACUGAAGCAUCAGCAAAGUCCUGUGCAAAACCUCAAGAAUGUACCUCUGGUUCCAUCAAUUUUGGAGUCACCAGGACAGCAGUGAACACUGAGUGCUGUAACACUGGCCUUUGCAACUCUCAAAACACUCCUGCAUGGUCAAAAAAUGCCCCAAAUGGAAAGCGGUGCUUCACCUGUAAUGGCAAUGACUGCACAUCAAUUCUUAACUGUGUUGGAGAUGAAAAUAGUUGCCUCAAGACCACUGUUUCUGCACAGGGUGGGGUGGUGACCAUGAAAGGCUGUGUGUCCUCAAAUAUUUGUGCUGCUGCCGGUGACUUGUCAGCACAACUUGGCCUAGGCGUUGGUGUCAGCAUGAACUGCUGUGAAGGAAACCUGUGCAAUGAUGCUCGGCGCACCAUGCAGAGCAUCCUCCUCCUGCUAGUGCCUCUGGUCUCUACUGUCCUCAUCCAGUGACAGUGUUUCCACUGAAAUCUGGUCACUGGUAUUUUUCCAUACACAUAACGCAUACAAAUCUCCUAUGUUCAACACUGUUACAAAGUACAGGUCAUGUCAUUGCAAAACAGCUUUGAAUUUCUAUAUAUUCUUAUAUUUUAUUUGGUCUAUAUGGGAAAAUUCUACUUUUUUUGUAGCUGUCACAA